rnacentral:rRNA from 1 species
AUUGAACGCUGGCGGCAGGCCUAACACAUGCAAGUCGAACGAGUGGCGGACGGGUGAGUAAUGUCUGGGAAACUGCCCGAUGGAGGGGGAUAACUACUGGACACGGUAUCUAAUACCGCAUACCCUCGGAUGUGCCCAGAUGGGAUUGGCUAGGAGGUGGGGUAACGGCUCACCUAGGCGACGAUCCCUAGCUGGUCUGAGAGGAUGAACAGCAACACUGGAACUGAGAAACGGGCCAGACUCCUACGGGAGGCAGCAGUGGGGAAUAUUGGACAAUGGGCGCAAGCCUGAUGCAGCCAUGCCGCGUGUAUGAAGAAGGCCUUCGGGUUGUAAAGUACUUUCAGCGAGGAGGCGUUACCCGCAGAAGAAGCACCGGCUAACUCCGUGCCAGCAGCCGCGGUAAUAC